AUUGAACGCUAGCGGCAUGCCUUACACAUGCAAGUCGAACGGCAGCACGGGAGCAAUCCUGGUGGCGAGUGGCGAACGGGUGAGUAAUGUAUCGGAACGUGCCCAGUCGUGGGGGAUAACGUAGCGAAAGCUACGCUAAUACCGCAUACGAUCUAUGGAUGAAAGCGGGGGACCGUAAGGCCUCGCGCGAUUGGAGCGGCCGAUAUCAGAGUAGGUAGUUGGUGGGGUAAAGGCCUACAAAACCGACGAUCUGUAGCUGGUCUGAGAGGACGACCAGCCACACUGGGACUGAGACACGGCCCAGACUCCUACGGGAGGCAGCAGUGGGGAAUUGUGGACAAUGGGCGCAAGCCUGAUCCAGCAAUGCCGCGUGCAGGAUGAAGGCCUUCGGGUUGUAAACUGCUUUUGUACGGAGCGAAAAGGCUCUCUCUAAUACAGGGGGCUCAUGACGGUACCGUAAGAAUAAGCACCGGCUAACUACGUGCCAGCCGCCGCGGUAA
rnacentral:rRNA from 1 species